CUUGGAUGCCAAAAGUAAUUUACUGAUUUAUCCCGCUUUCCUUCCCUCUGUAAACUUUCCCACCUUUUGAUCGCCGGUGGUUUUUCCCUCUCUACUUGGUUUUGGAGAUGGAGAGUACCACAUUUGUUUAAAUAUUCUCACCUCCAAUUCUUCUUUCGACUUCCUGCGAAUAUAAAUACCUAUACGAAAUAUCUCCUGCCAAUUUCAGCUGAAUAUAUGGAUUCAGAUUCUCACUCGCCAACAAAAACCCUAACAACGAGGCACAAAUGCUCUGCAUGCUACAAGCAAUACAAGAAAAAGGAACAUCUUGUUGAGCACAUGAAGAGCUCUUACCAUUCAGUUCAUCAGCCAAGAUGUGCAGUGUGCCAGAAGCAUUGCAAAUCUUUUGAAUCUCUGAGAAUACAUCUCACUGGUCCGCUCGCAAAAGCAAAUUGUUCGAGGAUUUUCUCUGACCGAGGUUGUGAUCUUUGCUUGAAAGUUUUUGAUAGCUCCAAUUCUCUCAGCAAGCAUAGGGAAAUGUGCUGCUUGUCUGCACCUGGUUCUCUUGUAACGAAGGUACCACCUUUCAAAGAAUCACAAGUUUAUAUUUCAGUACCAGCCAAAGAAACUUAUGCUGGAAAAGGUGUUGAAGCUGUUGCUAUUGACUGUGAAAUGGUUGGUGGAGGAAGUGAUGGAACACUUAACCUUUGUGGUAGGGUGUGCCUUGUUGAUGAAGAUGAAAAUAUAAUUUUUCAGACGUAUGUUCAACCUCAAAUUCCUGUCACUAAUUAUAGAUAUGAAGUGACUGGUUUAACUGAAGAACAUCUAAGAGAUGCUAUGUCACUUCAGGAAGUGAGAAAUAACAUUUUGGAAAUUUUGUACAAUGGAGAAUCUGUUGGUAAAGUAAGGUUGGAUGGUGGAAAAGCAAGGCUACUUGUGGGCCAUUCUUUGGACCAUGAUUUGGAUUGCUUGAAAAUGUUCUAUCCUGAUCAUUUAUUGAGUAGAUUGAAUUAUAAUUAUGCAGGGAUACAGCUACAUAUCGUCCAUUGAUGAAGACUAAUCUGGUUAGCCAUUCUUUGAAAUACCUCACGCAAACAUAUCUAGGUCCCAGGAUUUCUUAAGGAGAUGGGCAAAUCGUUCUCAAUUCAAAGCAGAAAGACUGGAAACAAUAUUCCUAGAAUAGACUACGUGCCGCUUAUAUGUCGUUCUCUGUUUGCAAAUAACUGUUGGCAGAAUUUGAGAAACAUCAUAUCCUACUCUUCACAUAGAGCACUACAUUACUUUAUCUCUUUCGUAUUUUUAUUUUUAUUUUUUUGGCAACUAACAAUUGUAAUUUUCUGAGAGUCUGACAAAGAUCAUACUCUUCCUUUCCCCUGUAUCUAUAUCUCAGGGACCUUGGUCAUGCAAUCUAUAUAAAUCACAUUAUUGGUUUUGUGAUCAUAAACAUUUUGCUUCACAGGUAUACUAUUCAGACCGGGGUACAUGAUCCAUAUGAAGAUUGCGUAUCUGUGGUGAGAUUGUACAA